rnacentral:tRNA from 1 species
GCGGGUGUGGCGGAAUUGGCAGACGCACUAGACUUAGGAUCUAGCGCCUUACGGCGUGGGGGUUCGACCCCCUUCACCCGCA